UACGAAGGGGGCUAGCGUUGUUCGGAUUUACUGGGCGUAAAGCGCACGCAGGCGGUCUUUUAAGUUUGACGUGAAAGCUCCCGGCUUAACUGGGAGAGGUCGUUGAAUACUGGAAGACUUGAGGAAAUGAGAGGGGUGUAGAAUUCCUGGUGUAGUGGUGGAAUGCGUAGAUAUCAGGAGGAAUACCAGUGGCGAAAGCGGCACCCUAGCAUUUUUCUGACGCUCAUGUGCGAAAGCGUGGGGAGCGAACGGG
rnacentral:rRNA from 1 species